GAUGAACGCUGGCGGCGUGCCUAAUACAUGCAAGUCGAGCGAAUGGAUUAAGAGCUUGCUCUUAUGAAGUUAGCGGCGGACGGGUGAGUAACACGUGGGUAACCUGCCCAUAAGACUGGGAUAACUCCGGGAAACCGGGGCUAAUACCGGAUAACAUUUUGAACCGCAUGGUUCGAAAUUGAAAGGCGGCUUCGGCUGUCACUUAUGGAUGGACCCGCGUCGAAUUAGCUAGUUGGGGAGGUAACGGCUCACCAAGGCAACGAUGCGUAGCCGACCUGGGGGGGUGAUCGGCCACACUGGGACUGAGACACGGCCCAGACUCCUACGGGAGGCAGCAGUAGGGAAUCUUCCGCAAUGGACGAAAGUCUGACGGAGCAACGCCGCGUGAGUGAUGAAGGCUUUCGGGUCGUAAAACUCUGUUGUUAGGGAAGAACAAGUGCUAGUUGAAUAAGCUGGCACCUUGACGGUACCUAACCAGAAAGCCACGGCUAACUACGUGCCAGCCGCCGCGGUAA
rnacentral:rRNA from 1 species